rnacentral:lncRNA from 1 species
GUGGUUGAACCUAGGGUUUAACUGCUAUCCGGUGGCUCGAUCCUCACUCAGUGGAUGUUUUGGGUGACUUUCCGACAUCCCUGACCAUAUUUCUAGUAAGGUUUGCGACGGUUGCACCUAGGGUUUUGUACCUAGGGUUUUCUCUGUUGAAUGAAGGUCGAUCUUCUCAGGUCGCGAAGAAGGAGGGUAACUCUGUCCUUAUUUUGACUAUUGUAUGCUUUGUAUGUGAUUAUCUGGUUCUAUAUGUGAGUAUCUGGUUCUGUUAUAUUUUGAUUGCCGACACUGUUUUUAAGCUGAUUCAUUAAUCAUGGCUUCUAAUACCACUGUUGGUACCUCCUCCUCGGUAGACUCUACCAGCCCCCUUUUUGUAUAUUCCUCUGAUGUCCCUGGGGUCUCUCUUGUCCCCNNNNN